AACUGCAGUGCACCACAGACAGACAACAGAGACACCAAUGGAGAUGCAUAUCAGAGCAACUACUCAACUACUAGUCACUGAAGUUAGAAUCAUACAGUAGAUAUUACCAUUAGGAGUCAGUUAGAAAGGUAAUCAUACAGUAGAUAUUACCAUUAGGAGUCAGUUAGAAAGGUAAUCAUACAGUAGAUAUUACCAUUAGGAGUCAGUUAGAAAGGUAAUCAUUAGUAAGAUAAUACUAUAAGUAAAAGUUAAAAUCAUAUAUACCACAAUAAAAGGUCAGACAGUCUGAAUUAGUUGAUUAAUUGAUUGAUUGGUUUAAUCAUUGAUAUCCGGUACUGUUAGUUAAGAUGGCCGACUACGUCAACAAACAGGUGAUUGAAUUAAAAGAAGUUAAUGAAGAAAACCAGAAUAGAGCAACGAGGAGCGUGAAGACUGAGAACCAUCUCUCAGAUGGAAGACUAAGACUCUACAGGCUGGCUGCUGUGUGUUUAGGAGUGCUGUGUGUUCUACAAGUCACUCUCAACAUCUACCUGAGACUGGCUUUCUAUAACAGAGGAAAUGAGACUGUGGAGAGAGACCAGCUACAGACCAGUUACAACACACUGACUGAAGAGAGAGACCAGCUACAGACCAGUUACAACACACUGACUGAAGAGAGAGACCAGCUACAGACCAGUUACAACACACUGACUGAAGAGAGAGACCAGCUACAGACCAGUUACAACACACUGACUGAAGAGAGAGACCAGCUACAGACCAGUUACAACACACUGACUGAAGAGAGAGACCAGCUACAGACCAGUUACAACACACUGACUGAAGAGAGAGACCAGCUUCAGAAGGAAAGAGAUGAUCUCAUGAGAAAGUUUUCUAAUCUGAAACAAACCUGUCCUGAAGGCUGGCAGAAGUUUGAAUCCAGUUGGUACUUCCUGUCUACUGUGAAAAAACCCUGGGGGAAAGCAGGCAGGACUGUCUGAUGAGAGGAGCAGACCUGGUGAUCGUAAACAGUGAUAAGGAACAGGAGUUUCUCUUCAGCUUCAAUAAGAGAGCCUGGAUUGGUCUGACUGACUCUGUUACUGAGGGGGCCUGGAAAUUUGUGGACGGCACCCCACUGACCACCCCAAGUUACUGGUACUCACAGCAGCCUGAUAAUGGUGGUGACAACCCAGCAAAUCGGAAGGAGGACUGUGUUGAGCUGAACAUGGAAACAUGGCGUCCUGUAAAGGCAUGGAAUGACCUGUCAUGUUUACUCACCGU